CAACACCUUCCUACUGCUCGAGCACCACCUCCCUCUGCUCCAGCACCACCCCCCUCUGCUCCAGUACCACCUCCCUCUGCUCCAGUACCACCUCCCUCUGCUCCAGCAUCACCUCCCUCUGCUCCAGCACCACCCCCCUCUGCUCCAGUACCACCUCCCUCUGCUCUGCCUAUAACCCCUCUUCAGUCUACUACCCAAUCUCUACCAGAGAAAUGAAAAAACGUCUACGUCCUUCUAUCAAAAGUGAAUGGAUAUAAGUUGUUUUACUGGGACAUUAAUAAAAUCGGUCCUGACAUGUAACUGGAGAGUCAGGGGGAAUCAAAACAUGAGAUCCAGAAAUAUUUGCAAAUCACAAGAGCAUUUAUGAGGAAGAAGGGGUGCAAUGUCUCUCGUUGGAGAUGUGACACAGUGAAGCAUCCCAAACAACAGGACAGUACAUCAUGUGGUGUAUUUUCACUGAAGUUUGCAGAAAAAAUCCUAGCAAAAGAGGUAGUGGAUUUUCCUGUUUCUACUGCGGCGGUCUACAGCAUGAGGUUGGACAUUGCUGUGAGUCUUAUCCUUGACAGUGAUUACUUAAAAGACUUGUGCCACUUCUGUAGAGAGAAGGAAAGUGACACGGACGUGAACUGGGUAAGAAAUUUUAGAGAAUUAUUCAAAGACUUAGAGUUAGUAAGUCAAAGGAAGAGAACAACUUUUACCUAAUUUUUUCUAGCGUAAACAAGCUUUAAUAAGACUCUCCAGCAGUUGGAAUAUAAGGGAAUCUAAAAUUAUUCAUAUAAAUGUUGUCACUGUAAAGACAUGUUUUCUUUAAAAUAGUUUAUAUUUUUGGUUUCUUUCAUAGAUCCAGUGUGACAURUGCCUGAGGUGGUUCCAUCAGGCAUGUGUGGGAAACCCACCAAUUCAAAAAACGUAUGAGUUUUUUGAAUUGGCAAAUCAGGAACCUGUUUGCUUUAGGUUCCUGAGUUUACUGUGGAGUGCUGGUAGUUUAUGUAUGUUGAACAAUGUUUAAUAAAUUACAAUUUGAAAACUA